rnacentral:rRNA from 1 species
GUGGAUUAGAUACCCUGGUAGUCCACGCUGUAAACGAUGAAUACUAGGUGUAGGGGGUAUAAACUCCCUCUGUGCCGCAGUUAACACAAUAAGUAUUCCACCUGGGGAGUACGACCGCAAGGUUGAAACUCAAAGGAAUUGACGGGGACCCGCACAAGCAGUGGAGUAUGUGGUUUAAUUCGAAGCAACGCGAAAAACCUUACCAAGGCUUGACAUAAUAUCGAAUAUGGUGGAAACAUCAUAGUCCUUCGGGACGGUAUUACAGGUGGUGCACGGCUGUCGACAGCU